CUGCAGUCCUAAGCCUUUCUCAGCAAAGAGAAGAGUGAACUGCUUGUGCUACUGAAAGAGUGGGAAGAUGCGACGUUCAACUUCCAUCACUUGCUUAAAAGAAAACUGCUUUCCUUGGAUGUACUCCAUUUCCUCCUCCUCUUCCCUGUGAGUUGGAAUGCAGGCAAGGUGAUGACCACUUGGAGCAUAAAAAUGAGGACAAAACUCUUGAGGUAUGGAGCAAUUAGAAGAAACCUGGAUCUUGGGAAAACCUCAUGGAACCAAGCUGUCUCAUGAGCCUAGAUCACUUGUCUAUCUCUAUGAGGGACAAUAAGCUUUUGUCUUCUCACCGUAUUUUAAGUCUUCUUUUUCAUAGCACCAUAGACUGCACCUUAACUAAUAUAAUAAAUAAAAGAGUAACCUUUGAGUACCAUUACUAGCAGAGGAAGGCCUUCCUGCAUCUUACCAUUAUUUCUGGCUACGAAGCUAGUGGGGAGGGGCAGAAGUGACAGGGUUAG
rnacentral:lncRNA from 1 species